rnacentral:rRNA from 1 species
UACGGGAGGCAGCAGUGGGGAAUAUUGCACAAUGGGGGGAACCCUGAUGCAGCCAUGCCGCGUGAAUGAAGAAGGCCUUCGGGUUGUAAAGUUCUUUCGGUGAUGAGGAAGGUGUUUUGUUUAAUAGACAAAGCAAUUGACGUUAGUCACAGAAGAAGCACCGGCUAACUCCGUGCCAGCAGCCGCGGUAAUACGGAGGGUGCGAGCGUUAAUCGGAAUAACUGGGCGUAAAGGGCACGCAGGCGGAUUGUUAAGUGAGAUGUGAAAGCCCCGGGCUUAACCUGGGAAUUGCAUUUCAGACUGGCAGUCUAGAGUAUUUUAGGGAGGGGUAGAAUUCCACGUGUAGCGGUGAAAUGCGUAGAGAUGUGGAGGAAUACCGAAGGCGAAGGCAGCCCCUUGGGAAUAUACUGACGCUCAUGUGCGAAAGCGUGGGGAGCAAACAGGAUUAGAUACCCUGGUAGUCC